rnacentral:rRNA from 1 species
AAAGGCCCUUCGGGGUACUCGAGCGGCGAACGGGUGAGUAACACGUGAGUAAUCUGCCCCUAGCUCUGGGAUAGCUCCGGGAAACCGGGAUUAAUACCGGAUAUGACUCCUUCGGACAUCUGAAGGAAUGGAAAGAUUUAUCGGCUAGGGAUGAGCUCGCGGCCUAUCAGCUUGUUGGUGGGGUAACGGCCUACCAAGGCGACGACGGGUAGCCGGCCUGAGAGGGCGACCGGCCACACUGGGACUGAGACACGGCCCAGACUCCUACGGGAGGCAGCAGUGGGGAAUAUUGCGCAAUGGGCGAAAGCCUGACGCAGCGACGCCGCGUGGGGGAUGAAGGCCUUCGGG